rnacentral:rRNA from 1 species
UACGUAGGGGGCCAGCGUUGUCCGGAAUCAUUGGGCGUAAAGCGCGCGUAGGCGGCCAGAUAAGUCCGGUGUGAAAGUCAAAGGCUCAACCUUUGAAUGCCGCUGGAAACUGUCUGGCUUGAGUCCGGAAGGGGCGAGUGGAAUUCCUGGUGUAGCGGUGAAAUGCGCAGAUAUCAGGAGGAACACCGGUGGCGAAGGCGGCUUUCUGGACAGUAACUGACGCUGAGGCGCGAAAGCUAGGGGAGCAAACAGG